GUGGGGAAUCUUCCGCAAUGGACGAAAGUCUGACGGAGCAACGCCGCGUGAGUGAUGAAGGUCUUCGGAUUGUAAAGCUCUGUUAAUCGGGACGAAAGAGCCUAGUGUGAAUAAUGCUAGGAAGUGACGGUACCGGAAUAGAAAGCCACGGCUAACUACGUGCCAGCAGCCGCGGUAAUACGUAGGUGGCAAGCGUUGUCCGGAAUUAUUGGGCGUAAAGCGCGCGCAGGCGGAUCUGUCAGUCUGUCUUAAAAGUUCGGGGCUUAACCCCGUGAUGGGAUGGAAACUACAGAUCUAGAGUAUCGGAGAGGAAAGUGGAAUUCCUAGUGUAGCGGUGAAAUGCGUAGAUAUUAGGAAGAACACCAGUGGCGAAGGCGACUUUCUGGACGAAAACUGACGCUGAGGCGCGAAAGCCAGGGGAGCGAACGGGAUUAGAAACCCCGGUAGUCC
rnacentral:rRNA from 1 species